rnacentral:rRNA from 1 species
UACAGAGGCCUCGAGCGUUAGGCGGAAUCACUGGGCUUAAAGCGUGUGUAGGCGGACUUCUAAGUACCUUGUGAAAUCCCACGGCUCAACCGUGGAACUGCUUGGUAUACUGGAUGUCUUGAGCCAUCUAGGGGCUACCGGAACAAAUGGUGGAGCGGUGAAAUGCGUAGAUAUCAUUUGGAACGCCAAUGGUGAAAACAGGUAGCUGGGGGAUGUGCUGACGCUGAGACACGAAAGCCAGGGGAGCAAACGGG